rnacentral:rRNA from 1 species
AUGAACGCUGGCGGCGUGCCUAAUACAUGCAAGUCGAGCGAACAGACGAGGAGCUUGCUCCUCUGACGUUAGCGGCGGACGGGUGAGUAACACGUGGAUAACCUACCUAUAAGACUGGGAUAACUUCGGGAAACCGGAGCUAAUACCGGAUAAUAUAUUGAACCGCAUGGUUCAAUAGUGAAAGACGGUUUUGCUGUCACUUAUAGAUGGAUCCGCGCCGCAUUAGCUAGUUGGUAAGGUAACGGCUUACCAAGGCAACGAUGCGUAGCCGACCUGAGAGGGUGAUCGGCCACACUGGAACUGAGACACGUUCCAGACUCCUACGUGAGGCAGCAGUAGGGAAUCUUCCGCAAUGGGCGAAAGCCUGACGGAGCAACGCCGCGUGAGUGAUGAAGGUCUUCGGAUCGUAAAACUCUGUUAUUAGUGAAGAACAAAUUUGUAAGUAACUAUGCACGUCUUGACGGUACCUAAUCAGAAAGCCACGGCUAACUACGUG